rnacentral:lncRNA from 1 species
ACCCCUGGCCUGGGAACCUUCAUGUGCUGCGGGCGCAGCCCUAAAUAGAUAGAAAGACAAAAAAAAGAAGACUCUCGGAGGCGCGUGCUCAGGAGUCACGAGCCUGCUCCUUUCCUCCCCCGCACGUUCCCAGUACAUAGAUUCCACGGACUUGGAGCCAAGCACCUUGCAGGAGGAGCCCGUGCGCUACCACGAGGCCUGGCAGAAGCUCUGCAGUGCCCAGUAAGCGGUAUUCCCCGCCCCCCUGUGCUUGCCCGGGGCUUGCGGUUUGGGGUUUGAAUGGACAAAGCGGUCUUAGGCUGGUGGUGGAGGAUCUGCUUGUUUAAAUGUCCCCUCAUUAUUGCAAAGACUCCAGACUGGACGAUGGAAGCCUUCGCACAGAUGCAGCUUAUCAGUGUAGUUCUAAGCGUGGAACGCUGGUUCUAAUGUUGUUGAUGAUGUUUACUGGCUGCGUCUCUGGGUGAGGCUUAUGCAAAGGUUUUUCAUCCAGAAUAUUGGAUGAGUGCCCGUCAGUAGAGUCUCGAAUAGUCUGGGGGCAGCUAUCAUCUAUAAGAGUGAAAACCAAAACCCACCCCCGAGAACAACUGAAUGUUCUGGAGCCACACAGCUGUGGUCGGAGCUGAUCCGAAAAGGCCUCCUUCCUACUCGAGGGGGCACUUCAAGCAAGAGGUAAAAAAAACUGCAAAUUUUGGCAAGAAUCUGCUCCUGGAACAAGUAUUGUGCCGUCACGGUAUUACAAUUCGGUCAUAUUUUAUUUUUUUUUUUAAAUUUUUUUACUGGUUAUAAGCACUUGCUGAUGUCACAGAGAGAAGUGCCUGGCUCUGGGUGCACCUUCCCAGCCCACGGUGUUCCCGUCCAGCUCACUGGCUGUCUUGAGAUCUCAGGCCACAGCCCCGGCAGCACAGUGCCUGGGGGAUUUCGUGGCACCUGUGUCUUGGAAGUGGCUCCUCGGGUGGUAAUUGCGAGCUGGACAGGUGGAAAGCCGGUCUUUGUGUGCUUCCUUGCACAGUGGCGUGCUGGUCCCAGGGGGAUUUGGCGUUCGAGGGACGGAAGGAAAAAUCCAAGCGAUCGCCUGGGCGCGGAAACAGAAGAAGCCUUUUUUGGGGUGUGUGCCUGGGGAUGCAGUUGGCAGUGGUUGAGUUUUCAAGAAACGUCCUGGGCUGGCAAGGUGAGUGUCUGCGGAAAAGCGUGCUAAGUUCUCACCCGGUGUUCCUAGAGGGCGUGAAGCUUGGUGCCCGGUGGGCGAUGGGGAGCCGAGGGGGACAAGCCUGGUUUCUCAGUCCUUCCCGGGCUCAGCCAGAGGGAGCUGCUGCAUCCACGGCGGGAGCCACCAACCUCGGGUCAGAGGGCUGGCUGAGGCCACGCCCUGGCUUUCUGCCCCCUGCUUCUCCUGCUCUGGAGAUGCCCACACGCCCGUCCCCGUGGCCACCGUGCCACCGUCCCUGAGCCGGAGCCUGGCAAGAAAACUCACUGACUGGAGCGAGCUGUGCGGUUCUUCGGAACCCGGGCUCUGGAGCUGGCCUCGCAUGUGGCUUUAUGACUUAUGGGUGAUUUUAGGCAAAUUUCUCAGCCUUUCCAAACCUCUGUUUUCUUCUGUGAGAUGCGGGUCAGAGUGUUACCUGCGUCACACGGUUGUGAGAGUUGAGUGAAAUACUGCGUGUAAGUUAUCCCCUUGCGAUGCCUGGCAGUUAGGAAAUACUCCCCGCUACUGGCUCUGUGCCUCCGUGACUACUACGCCGUGUCCAGGCCACCGAGAACUUGGAGGCUUCCGCUGCUGGGGUCCUGCAGGUCGAGCGGACGCCCGUGUGGACGGUCUGGACUCGCCCUCCCCGCAUCCAGCUCUGCCCGCGGGGCAGCGGCACAGCCUCGUCGUCACUGAUGCAGCCGAGCGUCCUCACUGUGUGGGGACCCCUGGGCU